rnacentral:rRNA from 1 species
GAUGAACGCUGGCGGCGUGCCUAAUACAUGCAAGUCGAGCGAACGGACGAGAAGCUUGCUUCUCUGAUGUUAGCGGCGGACGGGUGAGUAACACGUGGAUAACCUACCUAUAAGACUGGGAUAACUUCGGGAAACCGUAGCUAAUACCGGAUAAUAUUUUGAACCGCAUGAUUCAAAAGUGAAAGACGGUCUUGCUGUCACUUAUAGAUGGAUCCGCGCUGCAUUAGCUAGUUGGUAAGGUAACGGCUUACCAAGGCAACGAUGCAUAGCCGACCUGAGAGGGUGAUCGGCCACACUGGAACUGAGACACGGUCCAGACUCCUACGGGAGGCAGCAGUAGGGAAUCUUCCGCAAUGGGCGAAAGCCUGACGGAGCAACGCCGCGUGAGUGAUGAAGGUCCUCGGAUCGUAAAACUCUGUUAUUAGGGAAGAACAUAUGUGUAAGUAACUGUGCACAUCUUGACGGUACCUAAUCAGAAAGCCACGGCUAACUACGUG